rnacentral:rRNA from 1 species
UGGGGAAUAUUGGACAAUGGGCGCAAGCCUGAUCCAGCCAUGCCGCGUGAGUGAUGAAGGCCCUAGGGUUGUAAAGCUCUUUCACCGGUGAAGAUAAUGACGGUAACCGGAGAAGAAGCCCCGGCUAACUUCGUGCCAGCAGCCGCGGUAAUACGAAGGGGGCUAGCGUUGUUCGGAUUUACUGGGCGUAAAGCGCACGUAGGCGGACUUUUAAGUCAGGGGUGAAAUCCCGGGGCUCAACCCCGGAACUGCCUUUGAUACUGGAAGUCUUGAGUAUGGUAGAGGUGAGUGAAAUUCCGAGUGUAGAGGUGAAAUUCGUAGAUAUUCGGAGGAACACCAGUGGCGAAGGCGGCUCACUGGACCAUUACUGACGCUGAGGUGCGAAAGCGUGGGGAGCAAACAGG